UACGGAGGGUGCAAGCGUUAUCCGGAUUCACUGGGUUUAAAGGGUGCGUAGGUGGGUUUGUAAGUCAGCGGUGAAAUCUCCGGGCUUAACUCGGAAACUGCCAUUGAUACUAUAGAUCUUGAAUUUUCUGGAGGUAAGCGGAAUAUGUCAUGUAGCGGUGAAAUGCUUAGAUAUGACAUAGAACACCAAUUGCGAAGGCAGCUUGCUACAGGAAUAUUGACACUGAGGCACGAAAGCUAGGGGAGCGAAUGGG
rnacentral:rRNA from 1 species